CGGGAAGUCUCUCCCCCUAGACUGUGCUCCAUGGGGUGGGCCCAGGCCUUGUGCUGUUUUUACUUAUAUCCCCCAUGGAGACCAGAGCUAGGCACAGAGUACAGCAGCACCCCAACUUUCAGCCGGUUACCCAUACAUCUCUCAUGUCAUUAAGAACAAUGAAACUAUAGCACACACACAUUCCAGUGGAAAAAAAUAAUUUUCAAAGUUCCCUGGAGUUCGUUGCAGUGGAAUCCAUGGCCCAGAGUAAUUAAAAAAAGCAAUCUUCGUGUCAGCUCCUCCCUGGCAGACUUAGCCUGCCAGAGCUAAUGAGACAGGCCACCCUUCAGCCAACCUCAUCAGUGACGACCACGCGGCCAGGAAGUCCUUGAUGUGCGAUGUGCAGUAGCUAACAAGGGCCCCCCUGCUGCGAAGCAACAACUUGCUGGGCAUGGAGCAGGGACCCACGGGUUCCCAUCAUUGCCUCC
rnacentral:lncRNA from 1 species